rnacentral:tRNA from 1 species
GUUUUAAUAGUUUAAAUAAAACAUUGGUCUUGUAAACCGAAAAUAAGAUCUAUUCUUUUAAAACU